rnacentral:rRNA from 1 species
UACGGGGGGAGCAAGCGUUGUUCGGAUUCACUGGGCGUAAAGGGCGCGUAGGCGGCCACCGCAAGUCGGUUGUGAAAUCUCCGGGCUUAACCCGGAAAGGUCAAUCGAUACUGCGGGGCUAGAGUGCAGAAGGGGCAACUGGAAUUCUCGGUGUAGCGGUGAAAUGCGUAGAUAUCGAGAGGAACACCUGCGGCGAAGGCGGGUUGCUGGGCUGACACUGACGCUGAAGCGCGAAAGCUAGGGGAGCGAACGGG